ACUAAUGGUGUAGACCCAAAAGUGCAAACCUCUCCCAUCUGUCACUCCAGGAAGACAUAAUCAAAUGCUCAGAUUAUUUUCAAGGAAACAAGUACUAUUUGAACCAAGGUCUCUACUACAGUGGACUUCUGCCUGUGUGAUUCUAUGAUAUCACAUGUUUCUUCUCUGCCUGCCACUGCUGGGCAAACUGUCGGCUGGUUGCAACAACACUGACGUGUAAUCAGACUGAAGCCCUGUGCCAAGAAGUGGGGAGUGCAGUAAAUUACCAGCUGACGAAAGAAUGGAAAAAGGUGUGUUUUGUGUUUUCUCCCUGGGACCGGCGGGAGGCGAGAAUGGAGGGAUGAAGGGAGAGUCUUUUCCCUGCUGUUCUGUGGAUGCAGCCUGGGAUACGGAGCUAAUGGAUUCUCCCCGGCAAUGAACCAGUAUUCAGGCUGCUGUCCAGAGCAAAGAGGGAGAGUGGAAGGGAGGGAGGGAGGGAGCCACCUGAGAUGUUUCCCACAGUACUGGCCUGGAGAUUAGGAAGGAAGGAAGGGAUGGAGGAGGGCUGGAGGGAUAGGGAGGGAAGAGAGUGAAUAGUAGGGGUGGGGUGGGAUGGAGGAGGGGUGGAGAGAUAGGGAGGGAAGAGAGUGAAUAGUAGGGGUGGGGAGGGAUGGAGGAGGGGUGGAGAGAUAGAGAAAGAGGUGGAGAAGGAAAGAGAGAGGAAGAGAGAAGAGAUGGGGCGAAGGGGAGGGAUGGAGGGAUAGAGAAAGAGGUAGAGAAGGAAAGAGAGAAGAGAUGGGGUGAAGGGGAGGGAUGGAGGGAUAGAGAAAGAGGUAGAGAAGGAAAGAGAGAGGAAGAGAGAAGAGAUGGGGCGAAGGGGAGGGAUGGAGGGAUAGAGAAAGAGGUAGAGAAGGAAAGAGAGAGGAAGAGAGAAGAGAUGGGGUGAAGGGGAGGGAUGGAGGGAUAGAGAAAGAGGUAGAGAAGGAAAGAGAGAGGAAGAGAGAAGAGAUGGGGCGAAGGGGAGGGAUGGAGGGAUAGAGAAAGAGGUGGAGAAGGAAAGAGAGAGGAAGAGAGAAGAGAUGGGGCGAAGGGGAGGGAUGGAGGGAUAGAGAAAGAGGUAGAGAAGGAAAGAGAGAGGAAGAGAGAAGAGAUGGGGCGAAGGGGAGGGAUGGAGGGAUAGAGAAAGAGGUAGAGAAGGAAAGAGAGAAGAGAUGGGGUGAAGGGGAGGGAUGGAGGGAUAGAGAAAGAGGUAGAGAAGGAAAGAGAGAGGAAGAGAGAAGAGAUGGGGCGAAGGGGAGGGAUGGAGGGAUAGAGAAAGAGGUAGAGAAGGAAAGAGAGAGGAAGAGAGAAGAGAUGGGGUGAAGGGGAGGGAUGGAGGGAUAGAGAAAGAGGUAGAGAAGGAAAGAGAGAAGAGAUGGGGUGAAGGGGAGGGAUGGAGGGAUAGAGAAAGAGGUAGAGAAGGAAAGAGAGAGGAAGAGAGAAGAGAUGGGGUGAAGGGGAGGGAUGGAGGGAUAGAGAAAGAGGUAGAGAAGGAAAGAGAGAAGAGAUGGGGUGAAGGGGAGGGAUGGAGGGAUAGAGAAAGAGGUAGAGAAGGAAAGAGAGAGGAAGAGAGAAGAGAUGGGGUGAAGGGGAGGGAUGGAGGGAUAGAGAAAGAGGUAGAGAAGGAAAGAGAGAGGAAGAGAGAAGAGAUGGGGUGAAGGGGAGGGAUGGAGGGAUAGAGAAAGAGGUAGAGAAGGAAAGAGAGAGGAAGAGAGAAGAGAUGGGGUGAAGGGGAGGGAUGGAGGGAUAGAGAAAGAGGUAGAGAAGGAAAGAGAGAGGAAGAGAGAAGAGAUGGGGUGAAGGGGAGGGAUGGAUAGAGGGAUAGAGAAAGAGGUGGAGAAGGAAAGAGAGAGGAAGAGAGAAGAGAUGGGGUGAAGGGGAGGGAUGGAGGGAUAGAGAAAGAGGUAGAGAAGGAAAGAGAGAGGAAGAGAGAAGAGAUGGGGUGAAGGGGAGGGAUAGAGGGAUAGAGAAAGAGGUAGAGAAGGAAAGAGAGAGGAAGAGAGAAGAGAUGGGGCGAAGGGGAGGGAUGGAGGGAUAGAGAAAGAGGUGGAGAAGGAAAGAGAGAGGAAGAGAGAAGAGAUGGGGUGAAGGGGAGGGAUGGAGGGAUAGAGAAAGAGGUAGAGAAGGAAAGAGAGAAGAGAUGGGGUGAAGGGGAGGGAUGGAGGGAUAGAGAAAGAGGUAGAGAAGGAAAGAGAGAAGAGAUGGGGCGAAGGGGAGGGAUGGAGGGAUAGAGACAGAGGUAGAGAAGGAAAGAGAGAGGAAGAGAGAAGA